GAGUGCCUCGCCGUAAUUAUAAUAUCGUCCCUUAUCGCGCCGUACACUUUCUCGCGGACGGACAUUUUUAGGUUUUCGUUCGGGUAUAUAACGGAACCGGGUGCCGAAAUUGGCUGCCGCGCGAAUCGCAUUCGUGCGCGGGACCUCGCUCGUUUCCGCCGCUCGUAAAUUUCCCGGGUGUACGCUAUCAAACUUACGGGUCGGUACCGAGUCCAAGUUUAUUACAAGAAGA